GAGGCUCUCUGCCCGCUCUCCACGCUGCUCCCCUUACGACCCCUCUCCUCCCGCCACCCUCGGUGCGAGGACAAGGUACAGUGUAGAGGGGACCGCGACGUCCCUGUGUUGCGACAGAAGAGCGUGAAGCACUCAAGUCGGGCACAGGGGUAAGGCUGGCAGUGUCCGCCCAGAUGGAUGAAUACUCCCAUCGCGGACCCUCUGCCCAUGGGCUAGUCCGUGGGUACCACCGCGCCGAAGCUGCUGCUGCUUGAACCCGCUGCUGGGCUGCAGCUCCAGAUCCGUACGCCCGCAAAUGGCCAAGAAAGUUUCAGGAAGACCGGGCAACAUUUCCACGCACGGAACCUGCGUGGGGAAGGGCUGUACGCCGUGGCCAGAGUGUCGGCCCAGGCUCUAGGGAGGUUCGUAGGGUGAAUGGUCACCACUUGGCCCACAAUUUCCAGAGGACAGCACGACCACCAACUCGCAAGUCCUCACGGAGUCCCGUACAGCUUUGCAGUGGUUAUGCAGCCUGGGAAGAACAAUCAGAACAGCAGCCAAGGAAGAAGUCUUAGAAAAAAAAGAGGAGAGUUGAGUGGCUACCUACUAGUCCCUGACUGCAAGAUGACUCGUUCCUGUCUGGGGAUGUGAGGGAGAAAAUUGCUCUUCCUGCAGAUUUUCUGGGCAGUCUUGGAUGUUCCAGAAAUGGCAGCUAAAUACCUCUCGAGAACAAGGAGCUACUGAAAACUCACCAGGUGCUUCAGGAUGAGCUUUUCUGCCCAAGGUUAGAAAAGGCACUUCUGCCUCUGCAUGAGUGUUUCUGCUGGAAAGGAGUCCCUCCACUUUGUGGGUGCUCUGUGAGUAUAGGCAUAGGUGGUUAAAAAACAAGGAUCAGAAAGUUCAUGAUUGCCUGGCCUCAUCCUUACCACAGCUUCUGGGAUUCUGUUUGCAUCUGCUUUGCAUCAUCCUCACAAUAGACUUCUCGCUGUCCUCAGUAGGCUAUAUAAAUACUUCCCUUGGCAUGGACAUUGCACAGAACUAUUCUCAUUUUCUGAAAUAAUUAGAAUAGUUAAAUCUUACUGUGAAACACAUAGGCUAGAUUUUUUCUUUUCAUCACUUAAGUGUGUAUUUUCGAUAGUAAUCAUUGCUAGACAUGUUUUUUUUCAUAAUUAAAGUUAUAUUUUCCAUCUAUUAUUUCAAAUAACUGCCUAUGGGAACUUGACAGGUGUGUAUCAUCAUCUCGUAAUGAGCAGAAGCCCAAUAGUAAUAAUAGCUAUGAAACACUGAGAUCUUUUACUUCUUCAGCAUCAUAAAGGCUUCUGAUGGACUGUUGUCUAGUAUUGGGCUUCAAGAAAGCUAUGGAGUCAUUGGACAGAAUGCAGCAAGACUGAUCAGAGGUAUGCAAAAUGUGAUUUACAAGAACAGAUUGAAAGCAGUGGUUUUACUUAAUCUGGAGUACAGAAGACUUUUAAGGCAAACUGGUCUUUAAAGGUAUAAAAGGUAAAUGCAAAGAUGAGGGGAUUAAACUGUGAGGGUAGACAAGAGGUAAUGAAUUUAAGAUGUGAAUUCAAGAUAAAUGCUGGAAAAAAAGAAGCUGCAAAUAGUGAGGAUUGGUAUGCAUAGCCUCCCUUUCCCUGGGGAGGCUGUCAGAACACUGAGGGAUGUUAAGAAGAAGUGAGACUGAUUUGGCAAGAGUGAUAAAGCCCUAGGACAGGAGUUUUCUCCUGACUGGCUUUGUAUGGUUCUAUGACAUGGGAAGAACCCACUUUAACUUAGUUCUUCAUGCGAUCCUUUUGCUUUUCAUUAGACAUACUGCUGGUUCACAGUUCAUGUCUUGGCUGCUCUUCUCCUACCCAUGCAAGAGACCUGCAUCACUGCUGCCUCAUUGCCUUAAUGCUCAUGUAUGAGUGUGUUUUCCACUGAAAUGCUGAAGUUAGACAUUUUCUCCUCAUUUUCUUUUUUUUUGACUUUAUAUCUGAUUUAGUUGGCACUGUGCUCCUCUUUCUUAAUACAAUUUUAUCACUGUGAGAAAUCCUGUUCCUGACACAGCUUUGCUUUUUUUGUACUCCCUCUAUUACCUUUCUAUUUUGUUUCAAAUCUCUGCUGAAAACGUUUUCUGCCUAAGUUUCUCUUUCAACAUGUUCCCUAGAUCUAUAAUUAGAAUAUUUAAUUUUAUAAUUAACUGAAUCAUAGAAUCAUAGAAUAGUUAGGGUUGGAAAGGACCUUAAGAUCGUCUAGUUCCAACCCCCCUGCU